UUUUCUAGGCCCUCCAUUCCCAACCCUGAAGCCCCCUGUCCCCAGCAGGAAAGACCAGGAAAAAGUGUUGGCUUCAGGUAAAACUUCCUAUUGAGGAAAUGUAAGACAACUCAAUGUCAUAUUUAGAGUUACUGACAUGAAUAGAAGCAUAUACAAGCAAUCUAUCAAAUGUAUUUUAUAAAGCCCCCUUUACAUCAGUAGCUGUCACAAAGUGCUUAUACAGAUAGCCAGCCUAAAACCCCAAAGAGCAAGCAAUGCAGAUGUAGAAGCACGGGGGCUAGGAAAAACCCCAUAGAAAGGCUCCUGCCUCUAGGAAGAAACUUAGAGAGGAGCCAGGCUCUGAGGGUGGCCAGUCCUCUUCUGGCUGUGCUUAUGGAGAUUAUAAAAGAGUACAGCCCUUUAGGCCAGAUUGUUCUUCAAGAUGUUUAAAUGUUCAUAGAUGACCAGCAGUGUCAAAUAAUAAUAAUUACAGUGGUUAUAGAGGGUGCAAUAGUUCCAUGUAGUCAUGGCUGUUCCAGGACUGGAGUGGCACGCUGGAACUUCCAGAGGCUUGUAGACCUGAAGCAGUGUGAUGUGGUCCAGAUCUUACACCCUAUUAGCUCAACCACAGUCCUCGCAGCUGCAGUCGUCUGCACCCUGUACCUGCUACACCGACCACGACAGGUGAUACAGAGGGAGAGAAACCAAACACCUACAGUCAUCUCAUGGGUCUCCCAGUCGAGACCCGCACGGGUAUUGAACCAGCAUCUGUAG
rnacentral:lncRNA from 13 species